rnacentral:lncRNA from 1 species
AGCAACUUUGAUCGGUCCCUGUUUGUGUGUGUGUGUGUUUGGUUUUUUGUAAGGAUGGGUGGGAAGGGGGCUGAUGAAGAGGGUCUAUCUCUAUUAUUGGGCAGAUUUAAAAUCCUUUUCCGCGUACAAACCAUCCUCCCAUCUGGUUGCUCCGCAGCCUUCUCCUUCAGGCCAAAGAGGGAACAAGGUCCUGGGAAACAGGAAUGAGCAGAGCUGCAUGCAGUUCUCAGGACUGAGAUCAUGGGAAAGGGC